AGCUGCAGAAGAAAGCACCGGCUAACUCCGUGCCAGCAGCCGCGGUAAUACGGAGGGUGCGAGCGUUAAUCGGAAUUACUGGGCGUAAAGCGCAUGCAGGUGGUUUGUUAAGUUCAGAUGUGAAAGACCCGGGGCGUCAACCUCGGAAUUGCAUUUGUAAACUAGGCAAACUAGAGUACUGUAGAGGGGGUAGGAAGUUUCUAGGUGUAGCGGUGAAAUAGCGUAGAGAUCUGAAGGAAUACCGGUGGCGAAGGCGGCCCCCUCGGACAGAUACUGACACUCAGAUGCGAAAGCGUGGGGAGCAAACAGGAUUAGAUACCCUGGUAG
rnacentral:rRNA from 1 species